GACGAACCGUGCGAACGUUGUUCGGAAUCACUGGGCAUAAAGGGCGCGUAGGCGGCUUAUCAAGUCAGGGGUGAAAUCCGGCAGCUUAACUGUCGAAGUGCCCUUGAUACUGAUGAGCUCGAGGGAGAUAGGGGUGUGUGGAACUUCCGGUGGAGCGGUGAAAUGCGUUGAUAUCGGAAGGAACGCCGGUGGCGAAAGCGACACACUGGAUCUCUUCUGACGCUGAGGCGCGGAAAGCCAGGGGAGGCAAACGGG
rnacentral:rRNA from 1 species